GUCUACGGCCAUACCACCCUGAACGCGCCCGAUCUCGUCUGAUCUCGGAAGCUAAGCAGGGUCGGGCCUGGUUAGUACUUGGAUGGGAGGAAACCUCUACCCCUAACCC
rfam:Canis lupus familiaris chromosome 25, whole genome shotgun sequence.